GAUAAGUAAUGUGAAUUGCAGAAUUCAGUGAAUCAUCGAAUCUUUGAACGCACCUUGCGCUCCUGGGCUAUUCCUAGGAGCAUGCCUGUUUGAGUGUCGU
rnacentral:rRNA from 1 species